rnacentral:rRNA from 1 species
AUGUGUAGCGGUAAAAUGCGUAGAUAUAUGGAGGAAUACCGGUGGCGAAGGCGGCUUUCUAGACAGUAACUGACGCUGAGGCACGAAAGCGUGGGGAGCAAAUAGGAUUAGAUACCCUAGUAGUCCACGCUGUAAACGAUGAAUGCUAAGUAUCGGGGCGACCCGGUGCUGCAGCCAACGCAAUAAGCAUUCCGCCUGUGGAGUAUGCACGCAAGUGUGAAACAUAAAGGAAUUGACGGGGGCCCGCACAAGCGGUGGAGUAUGUGGUUUAAUUCGACGCAACGCGAAGAACCUUACCAGGCCUUGACAUCCCUUGCAGAGGUGUAGAGAUACAUCCGAGGUUAUCAAGGAGACAGGUGGUGCAUGGUUGUCGUCAGCUCGUGUCGUGAGAUGUUGGGUUAAGUCCCGCAACGAGCGCAACCCUUGUCUUCAGUUACCAUCAUUAAGUUGGGGACUCUGAAGAGACUGCUGGUGAUAAACCGGAGGAAGGUGGGGAUGACGUCAAAUCAUCAUGCCCCUUAUGGCCUGGGCUACACACGUACUACAAUGGCGUAUACAACGAGGAGCGACACUGCGAAGUGAAGCAAAUCUCUUAAAGUACGUCUCAGUUCGGAUUGAAGUCUGCAACCCGACUUCAUGAAGCUGGAAUCGCUAGUAAUCGCGGAUCAGCAUGCCGCGGUGAAUACGUUCUCGGGCCUUGUACACACCGCCCGUCAUACCAUGAGAGUUGGCAAUACCCGAAGCCGGUGGCCUAACCGCAAGGAAGGAGCCGUCGAAGGUAGGGCUGAUGAUUGGGGUCAAGUCGUAACAAGGUAACCA